rnacentral:rRNA from 1 species
GAUUGCCUCAGUAACGGCGAGUGAACCGGCAAUAGCCCAAGAUGAGAAUCGCUGCUCUGCGAGCACGCGAGUUGUAAUCUAAAGGGUGGUCACUGACUGGUUCUUCUGACGCCCAAGUGUCUUGGAAUAGACCGCCAGGGAGGGUGAAAGCCCCGUACGGUGUCGGAGGAACGCUAGGUGGCCGCUUGAAGAGUCGAGUUGUUCGGGACUGCAGCUCUAAGUGGGAGGUAGACUUCUCCUAAGGCUAAAUAACUAUGAGAGACCGAUAGCGAACAAGUAAUGUGAAUGAAAGAUGAAAAAU